GAUGAACGCUGGCGGCGUGCCUAAUACAUGCAAGUAGAACGCUGAAGGAGGAGCUUGCUCUUCUGGAUGAGUUGCGAACGGGUGAGUAACGCGUAGGUAACCUGCCUGGUAGCGGGGGAUAACUAUUGGAAACGAUAGCUAAUACCGCAUGACAACAGUUAUUGCAUGAUAACUGUUUAAAAGGGGCAACUGCUCCACUACCAGAUGGACCUGCGUUGUAUUAGCUAGUUGGUGAGGUAACGGCUCACCAAGGCGACGAUACAUAGCCGACCUGAGAGGGUGAUCGGCCACACUGGGACUGAGACACGGCCCAGACUCCUACGGGAGGCAGCAGUAGGGAAUCUUCGGCAAUGGACGGAAGUCUGACCGAGCAACGCCGCGUGAGUGAAGAAGGUUUUCGGAUCGUAAAGCUCUGUUGUAGAGAAGAACGAGUGUGAGAGUGGAAAGUUCACACUGUGACGGUAUCUGACCAGAAAGGGACGGCUAACUACGUG
rnacentral:rRNA from 1 species